rnacentral:rRNA from 1 species
ACGGCUCAGUAACACGUGGACAAUCUAACCUAUGGAAGGGGAUAACCCCGGGAAACUGGGGAUAAUACCCUAUAGACUAUGGAUGCUGGAAUGCUCUGUAGUUGAAAGGUCCGCCGCCAUAGGAUGGGUCUGCGGCCGAUUAGGUUGUUGUUGGGGUAACGGCCCAACAAGCCUGUAAUCGGUACGGGUUGUGGGAGCAAGAGCCCGGAGAUGGAUUCUGAGACACGAAUCCAGGCCCUACGGGGCGCAGCAGGCGCGAAAACUUUGCAAUGCGGGAAACCGUGACAGGGGAACUCCGAGUGCCCGUUAAAUCGGGCUGUCCACCAGUUUAAAUAACUGGUGAAGAAAGGGCCGGGCAAGACCGGUGCCAGCCGCCGCGGUAAUACCGGCGGCUCGAGUGGUGGCCACUAUUACUGGGCUUAAAGCGUUCGUAGCUGGUUUGUUAAGUCUCUGGGGAAAUCUUCCGGCUUAACCGGAAGGCGUCUCAGGGAUACUGGCGGACUAGGGACCGGGAGAGGUGAGGGGUACUCCAGGGGUAGGAGUGAAAUCCUGUAAUCCUUGGGGGACCACCUGAGGCGAAGGCGCCUCACCAGAACGGCUCCGACAGUGAGGGACGAAAGCUGGGGGAGCAAACCGGAUUAGAUACCCGGGUAGUCCCAGCUGUAAACGAUGCGCGUUAGGUGUAUCGGUGACCACGAGUCACCGAGGUGCCGAAGAGAAAUCGUGAAACGUGCCGCCUGGGAAGUACGGUCGCAAGGCUGAAACUUAAAGGAAUUGGCGGGGGAG